GUGCCAGCAGCCGCGGUAAUACGGAGGGUGCAAGCGUUGUUCGGAAUUAUUGGGCGUAAAGCGCGUGUAGGCGGAUGAAUAAGUCAGGUGUGAAAUCCCUUGACUCAAUCAAGGAACUGCACUUGAAACUAUUUGUCUCGAGUACGAUAGGGGAGGGCGGAAUUCCCAGUGUAGAGGUGAAAUUCAUAGAUAUUGGGAGGAACACCAGUGGCGAAGGCGACCCUCUGGAUCGAUACUGACGCUGAGACGCGAAAGCGUGGGUAGCAAACAGGAUUAGAAACCCGUGUAGUCC
rnacentral:rRNA from 1 species